rnacentral:rRNA from 1 species
GACGAACCGUCCAAACGUUAUUCGGAAUCACUGGGCUUACAGAGUUCGUAGGCGGUCUGGAAAGUUGGGUGUGAAAUCCCUCGGCCUAACCGAGGAACUGCGCUUGAAACUACCAGACUCGAGGGAGAUAGAGGAAAGCGGAACUGAUGGUGGAGCGGUGAAAUGCGUUGAUAUCAUCAGGAACACCGGUGGCGAAGGCGGCCAUCUGGACCGCAACUGACGCUGAGGCGCGAAAGCGUGGGGAGCAAACAGG